rnacentral:rRNA from 1 species
CUCCAGACUCCUACGGGAGGCAGCAGUGGGGGAUAUUGCACAAUGGGGGGAACCCUGAUGCAGCGACGCCGCGUGGGUGAAGGAGUACUUCGGUACGUAAAGCCCUAUCAGCAGGAAAGAAAAUGACGGUACCUGACUAAGAAGCCCCGGCUAACUACGUGCCAGCAGCCGCGGUAAUACGUAGGGGGCAAGCGUUAUCCGGAUUUACUGGGUGUAAAGGGAGCGUAGACGGUUAUGUAAGUCUGGAGUGAAAGCCCGGGGCCCAACCCCGGGACUGCUUUGGAAACUGUGUAACUGGAGUACAGGAGGGGCAGGCGGAAUUCCUGGUGUAGCGGUGAAAUGCGUAGAUAUCAGGAGGAACACCGGCGGCGAAGGCGGCCUGCUGGACCGCGACUGACGUUGAGGCUCGAAAGCGUGGGGAGCGAACAGGAUUAGAUACCCGAGUA